AGCGAGGCUAGAGUCACUCCUGGAUAUAACCCUGUUGUCUUGGUGUGCUAGAGCACUCGUAGAGAAAAUGUCUUUGCUUAUUCAUUGGCUGCAAUCUGUUUGUGGUCCAGCCAAUCACCAACUCAGAUACAUGA
ensembl:snoRNA